GAGGUUAUAGCUCAGUGGUAGAGCACAUACUUAAUUAACAUGCACGAGGUCCUGGGUUGAAUCCCCAGUACCUCCA
rnacentral:tRNA from 1 species